rnacentral:rRNA from 1 species
CACGUAGGGGCCAAGCGUUGUCCGGAUUUAUUGGGCGUAAAGAGCUCGUAGGCGGUUUGUCGCGUCUGCCGUGAAAGUCCGGGGCUCAACUCCGGAUCUGCGGUGGGUACGGGCAGACUAGAGUGAUGUAGGGGAGACUGGAAUUCCUGGUGUAGCGGUGAAAUGCGCAGAUAUCAGGAGGAACACCGAUGGCGAAGGCAGGUCUCUGGGCAUUAACUGACGCUGAGGAGCGAAAGCCAGGGGAGCAAACGGG